CCUACGGGUGGCAGCAGUCGAGAAUCAUUCACAAUGGGGGAAACCCUGAUGGUGCGACGCCGCGUGGGGGAAUGAAGGUCUUCGGAUUGUAAACCCCUGUCAUGUGGGAGCAAAUUAACAAGAUAGUACCACAAGAGGAAGAGACGGCUAACUCUGUGCCAGCAGCCGCGGUACUACAGAGGUCUCAAGCGUUGUUCGGAAUCACUGGGCGUAAAGCGUGCGUAGGCUGUUUCGUAAGUCGUGUGUGAAAGGCGCGGGCUCAACCCGCGGACGGCACAUGAUACUGGGAGGCUAGAGUAAGGGGAGGGGAAGCGGAAUUCGCGGUGUAGCAGUGAAAUGCGUAGAUAUCGAGAAGAACACGCGUGGCGAAGGCAGGUUCCUGGAGAGUAACUGACGCUGAGGCACGAAGGCGAGGGGAGCGAAAGGGAUUAGAUACCCUAGUAGUC
rnacentral:rRNA from 1 species